AUUGAACGCUGGCGGCAUGCUUUACACAUGCGGGUCGAACGGUAACAGGUUAAGCUGACGAGUGGCGAACGGGUGAGUAAUGCAUCGGAACGUGCCCGGUCGUGGGGGAUAACGCAGCGAAAGCUGCGCUAAUACCGCAUACGAUCUGAGGAUGAAAGCGGGGGACCGUAAGGCCUCGCGCGAUCGGAGCGGCCGAUGUCAGAUUAGGUAGUUGGUGGGGUAAAGGCUCACCAAGCCAACGAUCUGUAGCUGGUCUGAGAGGACGACCAGCCACACUGGGACUGAGACACGGCCCAGACUCCUACGGGAGGCAGCAGUGGGGAAUUUUGGACAAUGGGCGAAAGCCUGAUCCAGCAAUGCCGCGUGCAGGAAGAAGGCCUUCGGGUUGUAAACUGCUUUUGUACGGAGCGAAAAGGUCUCCUCUAAUACAGGGGGCUCAUGACGGUACCGUAAGAAUAAGCACCGGCUAACUACGUGCCAGCCGCCGCGGUAA
rnacentral:rRNA from 1 species